rnacentral:rRNA from 1 species
CGGUUUAGUGGCGAACGGGUGAGUAACACGUGAGGAACCUGCCCCGAAGACCGGGAUAACCCUCCGAAAGGAGAGCUAAUACCGGAUACCCCCACCGAACCGCAUGGUCUGGUGAGGAAAUGGAUUCCGCUUCGGGAGGGCCUCGCGGCCUAUCAGCUUGUUGGUGGGGUAACGGCCCACCAAGGCAUCGACGGGUAGCUGGUCUGAGAGGACGAUCAGCCACACUGGGACUGAGACACGGCCCAG